rnacentral:rRNA from 1 species
UACGAAGGGGGCUAGCGUUGCUCGGAAUCACUGGGCGUAAAGGGUGCGUAGGCGGGUCUUUAAGUCAGGGGUGAAAUCCUGGAGCUCAACUCCAGAACUGCCUUUGAUACUGAGGAUCUUGAGUUCGGGAGAGGUGAGUGGAACUGCGAGUGUAGAGGUGAAAUUCGUAGAUAUUGGGAAGAACACCGGUGGCGAAGGCGGCGACCUGGUCCUUGACUGACGCUGAGGCGCGAAAGCGUGGGGAGCAAACAG